UUCAAAUCCAAAUAGCAUUGAGUUAGCAUUUUUUAACUAAUAAAUUGGCAAAACUUAUAUUUUGAUAAAACCCAGUGUUGUUGACAUCCCAAGAAAAAGGGCUAUGCUCACACAGCCUUGGAGCAGGUGCACAUUGAUGAUUUUUUUGGCGUAAAAAUUAGUGGUUUCUAUUAAAAUCAGCAGUGUAAUUCACAAUCGCUAAGACAUGGAAUCAACCUAGGUGUCCAUCAAUGGUAGAUUGGGUAAAGAAAAUGUGUUACAUAUAUGCCAUGGAAUACUUUGCAGCCAUAAAAAAGAAUAAAAUUAUGUCCUUUACAGCAACAUGGAUGCAACUCAACGCCAUUAUGCUAAGCGAAUUAACACAGGAAUAGAAAACCAAAUACCACAUAUUCUCACUUAUAAGCAGGAGCUAAACAUUGAGUACACAUGGACACAAAGAUGGGAACAAUAGAAACUGGGGACUACUCGAGGGUAGAAGGAGGGAGGGGGUAAAGGUUGAAAAACAACUACUAUGCCUAGUACCUGGGUGAUCGGAUCAAUCAUGCAGCAAACCUCAGCAUUACACAACAUACCCAUGUAACAAACCUGCACAUGUACCCACUGUAUCUAAAAUCAAAAGUUGAAAUUAUAAAAAGUAAAAAAAUAAAAUCAACAAUGUAUAUUUCUCUCAGACAGCAAUCACUGUGAUGUAUUUGGGAUAAUACAUGAAUAAGGAUGUUCAUUGCAGUGUUGUCUGCAAGGGCAAAGUGAAAACAAUCUGAAUAACCAUCAAUAUGACACAGAAAAACCUCAGUGGAAAUUACAGAAAGCUGAAUAGGAUAUUAAUUAAAAACAUAAACCUGGUGAAACCUGAACAUAGAGGCUCCAAUUCAAAGAUGCUUCCAAUAGUUGACAUGGCCAUUCAUUCCUUAAAACCAGAUCCACAUGUUUCACUCAAGAUCCCAGAGAGAAAACGUAUGAAAACACAUUAGAAGACAAUAAACAUCCUUACAAUGCUAGCCAAUGUUUAUUAUUGCUUUCUAUGUGUGAGGAAUUGUGUUAAGCACUUAAAAAGAUGUCAUCACUCAUAAUUAUCAUAACACCUGAAGAAGUAGGUGGUGUGAUUUUCUCCAAUUUAGAUAUUAUAGGAACUGAAACAACUUGCCCACUAAACAGGCAAUUGAAAGAGAUAGGAUUUCUAUAGAAAAUUCCCAGAUCCACAGGUAGUGUUCCUAUUCACAUCAUCAGUGUUCCCUUAGUGGUUUUGAUAUUACACCUAAUACUAUUUACUACACAAUUAAAGCAUCCACCCUAUCAUGGGAUUUACUCUCAAGAAUAGAGCACUGAGCGUGAUAAAUAGUAUCCACUUUGGAAUGCAUGUUUCUAUCCAGCUACUUAAUAUGAUAUAAGUUCAUUGGACAUUAAGGCCAGAUUUCUUGACAUGCUUUACCCUCAAAUUAACAAGUUUGGCUCAUUCAAUUGUGGACCUUUAACCCUUAGGCCAGAUAGUAUAUGAGUCCUAGAGUAGUGGAAAAAGGUAACUGAAUUUACAAAAUUUGACUCAUCAAAUUCUGUAAUAAUUCAAUAUAUUGAGGAAACUUUAGGUGCAUAGUAAAAUUAUAAUUUCAUAUUGUUGCACAGACUCAGGCAGAUGAAAGAGACUCCAAUAGUGCUCAUGUAGCACCCAGACAGUCAGUUGAUCGUCUCUGUGCUGAAAGGAUUUAAGAGUGAAGAAUUUGCUCCAAUGUAUUUUUCAAUAUCUCAUUGUUUUAAAAUAAUAUUUGAAAUAAUACCUAGGAAUCCAACUUACAAGGGAUGUGAAGGACCUCUUCAAGGAGAAAUACAAACCACUGCUCAAGGAAAUGAAAGAGGACACAAACAAAUGGAAGAAC
rnacentral:lncRNA from 10 species